GACGAACGCUGGCGGCGUGCCUAACACAUGCAAGUGGAGCGACGAACCAGGGCUUGCCCUGGGGCCAAGCCGCGAACGGGUGAGUAACACGUGGGUAACCUGCCCCGAUGACCGGGACAACUCGAGGAAACUCGGGCUAAUACCGGAUGUACUCCGCGCACCUAAGUGCAAGGAGUAAAGGAAGCUUCGGCCUCCGCUUCGGGAGGGGCCCGCGGCCCAUUAGCUAGUUGGUGAGGUAACGGCUCACCAAGGCAACGAUGGGUAGCUGGUCUGAGAGGACGAUCAGCCACACUGGGACUGAGACACGGCCCAGACUCCUACGGGAGGCAGCAGUGGGGAAUCUUGCGCAAUGCGCGAAAGCGUGACGCAGCAACGCCGCGUGGGGGAAGAAGGCCUUCGGGUUGUAAACCCCUUUCAGGAGGGACGAAGGUAGGGCAGUGAACAGCUGUCCCUACUGACGGUACCUCCAGAAGAAGCCCCGGCUAACUACGUGCCAGCCGCCGCAGUAA
rnacentral:rRNA from 1 species